GGGCCCGCACAAGCGGCGGAGCAUGCGGAUUAAUUCGAUGCAACGCGAAGAACCUUACCAAGGCUUGACAUGUGCCAGACCGCCGUGGAAACACGGUUUCCCCUUUGGGGCUGGUUCACAGGUGGUGCAUGGUUGUCGUCAGCUCGUGUCGUGAGAUGUUGGGUUAAGUCCCGCAACGAGCGCAACCCUCGUUCCAUGUUGCCAGCGCGUAAAGGCGGGGACUCAUGGGAGACUGCCGGGGUCAACUCGGAGGAAGGUGGGGACGACGUCAAAUCAUCAUGCCCCUUAUGUCUUGGGCUUCACGCAUGCUACAAUGGCCGGUACAAUGGGUUGCGAUACUGUGAGGUGGAGCUAAUCCCAAAAAGCCGGUCUCAGUUCGGAUUGGGGUCUGCAACUCGACCCCAUGAAGUCGGAGUCGCUAGUAAUCGCAGAUCAGCAACGCUGCGGUGAAUACGUUCCCGGGCCUUGUACACACCGCCCGUCAAGUCACGAAAGUUGGUAACACCCGAAGCCGGUGGCCUAACCCCUUGUGGGAGGGAGCUGUCGAAGGUGGGACUGGCGAUUGGGACU
rnacentral:rRNA from 1 species